CCAAGGCAGCAAGGAAGCAUUCGAGCACGGCUGGGCACUUACAAGCUACGGUGCGUUUAAAAAUGUUUGGGGACACUCGCGUAUAUCUCCAGCUCAGUGAACAGGCACUACAUUGGUGAGUAAAUGAAUUUUAUUUUACAUUUCUAUUUGUUAUUUUAUUUCGUUAGUAUUAAUAGUCACGAAAUAAAAUGACAAAGAUACAAAAAUGUAUCAAAUAAAUCAGCUCACCUGCAAUUUAUAAUGGCGCAUUGUAGUCAGCUUCGUGCACUAAACUUCGUUCAAUCUCAGCUGCUCAACAUUUUCAGUUAUUUGCUGUUGUAUAGCCUAUUCUCAAAAUGCAAAUGAUCUGUUAAUUUUAUUUUCAAAGAAUAAUUUGUUUUGUUAUUGUGUGGUUGGUGUCUUAUAUGAAACGGCGACAUUUUAUUGGGCAGACUUGUUUAUGAUCACACAGCGUAAUUUGGGUGGCAUUUUAUUUAGUAUUUUUUAAAUCUUUUUAUUUUUGACAAUAUCUGUAAAUGUAGUUUCCUGCUCUUAAUUGUGAAUGCAUACUUGUUGGUUUUAAAUGCUCCUGAAAUUAAUGCUGCCUGACGAGCCUAUAUUGUGUUAAUGUUGGUGAUGUCACUGAAGGCCUAAGGUUGAAAUGCACGGCCCGCCACUGAA